AUAGGAUUUUCCCCCCUGCCAUUAGGGUUCCAUUUCAGUUCUGCUAGGGUUUUUCCCCUUUGAAGAGUCAUUUCCUCUUGGGUUGGAUUCCUGAUUUAGCCGUUUUCAUCUCCUGCAUGAACCAUGUUAUCCUUCCCAUUAACUGUUACUGGUUCAUCGUCUUCUACAGACUUUUUUCACAACCCCAAACGUGAAGUACACCAGGCAAGGGUUUCAUCUCAUUUCUCUCAUGCGUUUAAAUCCUUCAAUCAAGGGUUUCAUCUCAUUUCUCUCAUGGGUUUAAAUCCUUCAAUCAAGGGUUUCAAUCUGAUUUUGGGGUUUUCAUUCCCUCUCUGCAAUCCCUCCACGCUUCUCCCAAAACUGCUUUUGUUGACCUCAAAACCACUUUUCCCAACCCCCAAACUACCUUCUCUCCCCUUUCAAUACCCUAGCCUAGCUUGCUCCCUCCGAAUUGAAGAAAGAGAAGUGGUUUUCUUCUGAUUAUUUGAUCUCUUCCUCAAUCCAUCAUCAAAAUCUUUGUAUCUAGUUUCAGAGACAUUCAAUCCGGUUUUCGUCAUUGGAUUUGAGGUGGACGACAGUUUUCCAUUAAAAGUCCUUGUUCUUGAAUUCAUACUCGGAAUCUGUUGACAAAAUCUCUGUAUCUGAUAUUUGUGAUUUUUAAUCUAGUUUUUGGCUUCCUUUUUACAUCUGGAGGUGGUUUUUACUAUUGGAUUUGAAUUGGAAAUUAGGUUUUCUAUAUUGAGUUCUGGUUCUUGAAUUUCUCACCCGAAGGCUAUUGCCGUUUUCUUGAGUGGAUUCCUUGAACAGAGGAGUACUCAGAAGAUGUGGAAUUUCAAGAUAGAGGCAUUUAAGCAACGAGUAGAGUUGGACCUGAAAUAUGCAGAGAAGACAUGGAAGAUUUUAGAGCACGCGAUCCAUGAGAUGUACAAUCACAAUGCCAAUGGGCUCAACUUUGAGCUAGUCGUGCUAUGGAACCUUUUUCAGAUUUCGUUGUGGGUCAUGGAGAGUUAUGGGUUGCCCAAAUGUUGUCAUCAGUAAAAAAAAAAAAAAAGGUGCAGUGGUUGCAUAACGAUUUUAGAAAGUGUAUAAAGGUUUUUAAAGGUUGCGAGUGUACAACGAUUCUGUGUCUUUUUUGGUGCAACGAAGAAUGAAUUGCAACUGGAUGGACACAAGGGUGUCCUUAUUUUAAAUCCUACCAAUUCCAAUCAAGUGGAUCUUGAUUACUCAGAAUCUCAGAAGAGACUUGACAAGUGGAUCCUGAUUUCUCGGAUCGUCUGAUCAGUGUGAUUUCAGGCUAUGAUCCAUCCACAAUGGGGACCUUCAUUUAGACGUCUCAAUCAGCAUGCACAUAUGUAAUGUGUACCAUGAAUGAGCUACCAUGGGUUAAUACAUUGCAAAAAGUGCUGGAGCCUAACCCUUUCAUCAAGAUUUUUGCAACAAUUAAUAGGCAUCUUUUUUCUACAGUUAGUGAGGUUGUGAUAUUGAUGAACUGGAAUGGCCGGUGUUCCUGGUACUGCCAGUGCCAUUUUUGGUGCUGUUAAAGAUGCUGGAGCUAAUGUUAUCAUGAUAUCUCAGGCCAGUAGCAGCGACCACUCUGUAUGCUUUGGAUGCUGGACGUCUUUAUCAGGUACUCUAGUUUGAAUUACAUCAAUAGCUUGGGGUCAUCUUAGGAUUUCAUGGAAUAAUUGAUUCUUCUGCAAAACUGUCAAUCGUUGCUGCUUACUCUAGCAAUCUAUUUCUGUUAUUCAUCACAUGUUACAGCAAUUAGAAGAACUCCGUUUAUUUAGAGUGUUGGGCUUGAAUGUGUGGGUUAAUGCAGGGGGGUUGGAAUGGAGCCGGAUGCCACACUAGCUACAGCCAAUGCUUGAGUAUGUGAGGCUGGCUGGACAAUCGUUCAGCUGCCAGUUAAAUCGUUAUUCAAUCAUCACUUGGGACUGAACGGUAUCUGAUCAAACUUUUUUUUCUUCUUUUUUAUUUAUUUUUAUUUUUUAUUGUGGCAUUUGACGGAUGCAAAUAUGAAUGAGUUAAGCAAUGAUUUUCCAGUACAGGAGUCUCUACGUACUCCCAGCCUACAAAGUUCCAUCCAUGCUAUUGGUUUGGUUUUGUUGAGUUCAGAAUGUGUUAUUUCUGUUUUCUGUUUUGAAUUGACUUGGAUUUAUGGGAUGUUUGGUUUUGAUAUUAUGCAUUUUUAUCUGUUUUUAUUAUAUUUAUUGGCCAUCUAUUAUUUCGCAGUUUUAGGCUAAGUUUGUUUUUUGUUUUUUUUUUUUAAUGACUUGUGCUUGAUUUUGGUAUUCUGCACUGCAAUAUCAGAAAUUAUUUCUAUUCUUUAUAGUACUUAUCUUGCAUUGAUGUAGCUAUGGUCUUGUUUGAUUAUAUCGAUCAAGGCUAUCUUCUUAGUGUUUUUUUUUUGAAAGAUAAGGCUAUCUUCUUGAUUAAGGUGUUCUUCUCUAAAAUUUGAACCGUCUGCAUUUUACUUAAUGGAUCGCUUGAUCUUGACAUUCUGCAUUUUGAUUAUUAGAAUCCUUUCUCAUCCCUGAAGUUUCCAUCUUGUCAGUGGCCACUCUUCUUGAAUCUGUAAUGGCACUUGAUAUGUUACAUUGUGUGUGUCCGAUACAAGUAGCUGCUUCAUGUUUAACUACAUUAUGCAGGCUUCUUACCUUAAUUGUGGCCAUCCAUUAGCAUUUGACCUUUACUUCUCUAUGGAUUCUUUGGAUUUUGUUGUUAUGGAGGUCUCUUUAUGAUUCUGUUGGCAUUAAGCAUUAUUUUCUUGCACUAAAAGCAUCUGGGUUUUUAUGGU